rnacentral:tRNA from 1 species
UCCCUUGUAGCUCAGUCAGUAAAGAAUCUGCCUGCAAUGCAGGAGACCUGGGUUCGAGUCCUGGGUUGGGAA